rnacentral:rRNA from 1 species
AGAACGAACGCUGGCGGCAUGCCUAAUACAUGCAGGUCGAACGAAGGCUUCGGCCUUAGUGGCGCACGGGUGCGUAACGCGUGGGAAUCUGCCCCUUGGUUCGGAAUAACAGUUGGAAACGACUGCUAAUACCGGAUGAUGACGAAAGUCCAAAGAUUUAUCGCCAAGGGAUGAGCCCGCGUAGGAUUAGCUAGUUGGUGAGGUAAAGGCUCACCAAGGCGACGAUCCUUAGCUGGUCUGAGAGGAUGAUCAGCCACACUGGGCUGAGACACGGCCCAGACUCCUACGGGAGGCAGCAGUAGGGAAUAGUUGGACAAGUGGGCGAAAAGCCUGAUCCAGCAAUGCCGCGUGAGUGAUGAA